UACGGGGGGUGCAAACGUUGCUCGGAAUUAUUGGGCGUAAAGCGCACGUAGGCGGCCUGUUGCGUCCGCUGUGAAAGCCCGGGGCUUAACCCCGGGUCUGCAGUGGAUACGGGCAGGCUAGAGGUAGGUAGGGGAGAAUGGAAUUCCCGGUGUAGCGGUGAAAUGCGCAGAUAUCGGGAGGAACACCGGUGGCGAAGGCGGUUCUCUGGGCCUUACCUGACGCUGAGGAGCGAAAGCGUGGGGAGCGAACAGG
rnacentral:rRNA from 1 species